UGACAAGACUCGCUACACGUCCGUUUCCAGUAAGAGUCUGGGGAACUCCCCUGACAACAUGCAGCAGUAUGUUUUCAUGUACAGGUCGCGCACGGUGAACGUGACGGGGCUGUACCAGUAUAAAGGGCACCCCUUCGUCAGACCGCCGUUCGUCGUCCAGUUCCAAAGCAUCAAAACUGAAAUCAACAAGUUCAUUUUGGUUCCACUGCACAGCGACGAAGGUCAGGUCAUCCAGGAGGUCGACUGGCUCUUUGACGUCUUUGAGACCGUC